ensembl:snRNA U6 U6 spliceosomal RNA
GUGCCACUUUGGAAGCACAUAUACAAAAAUUGGAAUGAUACAAAGGAGAUUAUCAUGGCCCCUGCACCAGGAUGACAUGCAAAUUCAUAAAGCAUUUCAUAUUCUU